rnacentral:rRNA from 1 species
GGGCCAGACUCCUACGGGAGGCAGCAGUAGGGAAUCUUUCACAAUGGGCGCAAGCCUGACCCAGCAACGCCGCGUGAAGGAAGAAGGCUUUCGGGUUGUAAACUUCUUUUCUCAGGGACGAAGCAAGUGACGGUACCUGAGGAAUAAGCCACGGCUAACUACGUGCCAGCAGCCGCGGUAAUACGUAGGUGGCAAGCGUUAUCCGGAUUUACUGGGUGUAAAGGGCGUGUAGGCGGGACUGCAAGUCAGAUGUGAAAACCUCGGGCUCAACCUGUGGCCUGCAUUUGAAACUGUCGUUCUUGAGUACUGGAGAGGCAGGCGGAAUUCCUAGUGUAGCGGUGAAAUGCGUAGAUAUUAGGAGGAACACCAGUGGCGAAGGCGGUCUGCUGGACAGCAACUGACGCUGAGGCGCGAAAGCGUGGGUAGCAAACAGGAUUAGAUACCCGUGUA